UUCCGGUUGAUCCUGCCGGAGGGAACCCCUAUCGGGUUCAGACUAARCCAUGCGAGUCGGCUGGGGGCACUUGCCCCUGGCGGCGCACGGCUCAGUAAUACGCGGUCAACCUACCCUGGGGACCGGGAUAACCUCGGGAAACUGAGGCUAAUCCCGGAUGGGUGUAGGGUGCUGAAAUGCCCCUACGCCGAAAGUAGGCGGGAAAUGGACCGCUGAGGCCCCAKGAUGGGACCGCGGCCUAUCAGGUAKUAGGUGGGGUAACGGCCCACCUAUCCUACGACGGGUACGGGCCCUGAGAGGGGGAGCCCGGAGAUGGGCACUGAGACAAGGGUCUAGGCCCUAAGGGGCGCAGCAGGCGCGAAGAUUCCGCAAUGCCCGAAAGGGCGACGGAGUGAACCCGAGUGCCACCCGCUGAGGGUGGCUGUUCCCCUGUGUAAAAAGCARGGGGUAGGAARGGGAGGGCAAGGCUGGUGGCAGCCGCCGCGGUAAAACCAGCUCCCCGAGGGGUUCCCACGCAUACUGGGCCUAAAGCGUCCGUAGCCGGCCCUGUAAGUCCGCAGUUAAAUCCGCCUGUAGACAGGCGGGCUNCUGCGGAUACUGCAGGGCUAGGGAGCGGGAGGAGCCGGGGGUAUUCCCGGGGGAGCGGUAAAAUGCGUAGAUCCCGGGAGGACCACCAGUGGCGAAGGCGCCCGGCUUGAACGCGUCCGACGGUGAGGGACGAAA
rnacentral:rRNA from 1 species